AGGAAAUCUUCCACAAUGGACGCAAGUCUGAUGGAGCAACGCCACGUGAGUGAAGAAGAUCUUCGGAUCGUAAAACUCUGUUGUUAGAGAAGAACACGAGUGAGAGUAACUGGUCAUUCGAUGACGGUAUCUAACCAGCAAGUCACGGCUAACUAC
rnacentral:rRNA from 1 species